rnacentral:rRNA from 1 species
AUUGAACGCUGGCGGCAUGCUUUACACAUGCAAGUCGAACGGUAACAGGCCGCAAGGUGCUGACGAGUGGCGAACGGGUGAGUAAUGCAUCGGAACGUGCCCAGUCGUGGGGGAUAACGCAGCGAAAGCUGCGCUAAUACCGCAUACGAUCUAUGGAUGAAAGCGGGGGACCGUAAGGCCUCGCGCGAUUGGAGCGGCCGAUGUCAGAUUAGGUAGUUGGUGGGGUAAAGGCUCACCAAGCCAACGAUCUGUAGCUGGUCUGAGAGGACGACCAGCCACACUGGGACUGGGACACGGCCAAGACUCCUACGGGAGGCAGCAGUGGGGAAUUUUGGACAAUGGGCGCAAGCCUGAUCCAGCAAUGCCGCGUGCAGGAAGAAGGCCUUCGGGUUGUAAACUGCUUUUGUACGGAACGAAACGGUCCUGGUUAAUACCUGGGGCUAAUGACGGUACCGUAAGAAUAAGCACCGGCUAACUACGUGCCAGCCGCCGCCGUAAUAC